AAUUCAAGAGUAAAACAGAAUUUGUUUGAAAAAUAGGAAUAACAUGGAGGUGAGAAAGCAUAAAUAAUAUGCCUCCUACCUUCUGACUGUAUUUCCAACUUUCAUGCACUGAUUUAAUAUUAUUUUCAACCUAACGAUUCAAUGCUUCUUUUUUAAAAACCAUGUUCUCUUUUGUGCACACUAUUAUUUCAAAAAGAAGACUGAAGUAACUCUUUCUUUUGAUUCCUUAGAUAAGACAUACAUAUUGGACAUUCAUUUAAGACGUAGGAUAAUUUCUCCACUAUACCAAAAUUCUUUUCUCCCUUUCUUCUUUCAUUUGCACUCACAAGGCAACAGCCUGUUCACAUCACCAUUAGCAAAUGAGUUGUAUUGUUGAUUCUUCUUUCCUGUCACUGGUUCUUGGGGAAAAAUGCCAAGAAACCUAAUUUUGGACAGUGCAAGAAAUUCACUCUCAACAGAAUGAACCCAGUUGUCUUCCAUUUCAGGUCAUUCAGGGUAGAAAAGGGCAAAAUAUAAUGGUCACCCUGAAACCACUCUUAGUCACUUAAGUAGGACACCUCAUUUAGAAUAUGCCAUUCGGAUCAACUAGUUCUGCAUAUGUCAACUCACAAUGCCCCCUAGGAAGCACUUAGUCCAGCUAAUAAUACGAUGAUAUGCACUGCUGACGGAUGAGAUGGAAGCAUGAAAAGCUGAGAUAUAAAUGACUCUUCUAAAAUGUUCUGGUUUGGAUUUAUUAUAUACAGGUCAAGUAUCACUUUCAAGGCACUCAGAAAGCAUU
rnacentral:lncRNA from 1 species